CUUGCGGCGUGCUUAACACAUGCAAGUCGAGCGAAGCACUUAGGAAAGAUUCUUCGGAUGAUUUCCUAUUUGACUGAGCGGCGGACGGGUGAGUAACGCGUGGGUAACCUGCCUCAUACAGGGGGAUAACAGUUAGAAAUGACUGCUAAUACCGCAUAAGACCACAGCACCGCAUGGUGCAGGGGUAAAAACUCCGGUGGUAUGAGAUGGACCCGCGUCUGAUUAGUUAGUUGGUGGGGUAACGGCCUACCAAGGCGACGAUCAGUAGCCGACCUGAGAGGGUGACCGGCCACAUUGGGACUGAGACACGGCCCAAACUCCUACGGGAGGCAGCAGUGGGGAAUAUUGCACAAUGGGGGAAACCCUGAUGCAGCGACGCCGCGUGAGCGAAGAAGUAUUUCGGUAUGUAAAGUUCUAUCAGCAGGGAAGAAAAUGACGGUACCUGACUAAGAAGCCCCGGCUAACUACGUGCCAGCAGCCGCGGUAAUACGUAGGGGGCAAGCGUUAUCCGGAUUUACUGGGUGUAAAGGGAGCGUAGACGGAGCAGCAAGUCUGAUGUGAAAACCCGGGGCUCAACCCCGGGACUGCAUUGGAAACUGUUGAUCUGGAGUGCCGGAGAGGUAAGCGGAAUUCCUAGUGUAGCGGUGAAAUGCGUAGAUAUUAGGAGGAACACCAGUGGCGAAGGCGGCUUACUGGACGGUAACUGACGUUGAGGCUCGAAAGCGUGGGGGAGCAAACAGGAUUAGAUACCCUGGUAGUCCACGCCGUAAACGAUGACUACUAGGUGUCGGGUAGCAAAGCCAUUCGGUGCCGCAGCUAACGCAAUAAGUAGUCCACCUGGGGAGUACGUUCGCAAGAAUGAAACUCAAAGGAAUUGACGGGGACCCGCACAAGCGGUGGAGCAUGUGGUUUAAUUCGAAGCAACGCGAAGAACCUUACCUGCUCUUGACAUCCCGGUGACGGCAGAGUAAUGUCUGCUUUUCUUCGGAACACCGGUGACAGGUGGUGCACGGUUGUCGUCAGCUCGUGUCGUGAGAUGUUGGGUUAAGUCCCGCAACGAGCGCAACCCCUAUCUUCAGUAGCCAGCGGUAAGGCCGGGCACUCUGGAGAGACUGCCAGGGAUAACCUGGAGGAAGGUGGGGAUGACGUCAAAUCAUCAUGCCCCUUAUGAGCAGGGCUACACACGUGCUACAAUGGCGUAAACAAAGGGAAGCGAACCCGCGAGGGUGGGCAAAUCCCAAAAAUAACGUCUCAGUUCGGAUUGUAGUCUGCAACUCGACUACAUGAAGCUGGAAUCGCUAGUAAUCGCGAAUCAGAAUGUCGCGGUGAAUACGUUCCCGGGUCUUGUACACACCGCCCGUCACACCAUGGGAGUCAGUAACGCCCGAAGUCAGUGACCCAACCGUAAGGAGGGAGCUGCCGAAGGUGGGACCGAUAACUGG
rnacentral:rRNA from 1 species